rnacentral:rRNA from 1 species
CAAUAGCGUAUAUUUAAGUUGUUGCAGUUAAAAAGCUCGUAGUUGGAUUUCGGGUGGGACGCAGCGGUCUCGCAUUGCGUUUGUACUGCUGCAGCCCUCCUUCUUGCCGGGGGCGGCCUCUCGGACUUCACUGUCUGGGGGUCAGAAUCGGCGAUGUUACUUUGAGUAAAUUAGAGUGUUCAAAGCAAGCUUACGCUCUGAAUAUAAUAGCAUGGGAUAACACGACAGGACUCUGGCCUAUCGUGUUGGUCUAUAGGACCAGAGUAAUGAUUAAGAUGGACAGUCGGGGGCAUUCGUAUUCCGUUGUCAGAGGUGAAAUUCUUGGAUUUACGGAAGACGAACAUCUGCGAAAGCAUUUGCCAAGGAUGUUUNCAUUGA